UGGGUAAAGUUCCAUCGGUCAAAUACUGGAUGAUCGGGGUCAUCCAAUUUGGUUCAUCAUUGAUCUGUAGCACUUUUUCAACUUUAUCAAUGCUCGACUAUUCAAGGCAUUCGAUGAACAUCCGAUCCAGUGAGUUAAAUGAAGUGGUUGCAAGUCAGAAGAGUGCAUCGGUUCGAAUAUUUUUUGUUCUUGAAAUGUGAAAGAUCUUAAAAUAUUUUAGAGUCGACAUAAGAUCUUUCACUUUCUGAAGAUACUUCAUCAUACCGAAGUCUCAGGCUUCAAACUCACUCUUAAUUUAUCCAGUAAUCAACUAUGAGUCAGUGAAGAUAUUCAAUUGUCAAUGUCAAGCUCCUUGGCAAUCUUUAAGCCAGCUAAAAGUGCUUCCUAC
rnacentral:lncRNA from 1 species